ACAAACUUUCCUACUGUUUCACAAUUAUGCACUAACCAUGUUGCUUUAGGGUUAAUAAUGUGGCAAGCGGCUGUAAAUUUCAAACCCAAACUGUAUAUUUACCCCCGAAACCGAGCAACUCUCUAACAUACCACUUUAUUCGUAGAACUAAACAAAGCAAAAACAUGACACGUUAAUUGUAAACAUCAACAUGUUUUAUGUGUCUGUAGUUAGAAAAAGCCUUAAAAAAGAAAAGUAUAGUAACUGCUCAGCGUUUUGUCUCCAUUUUGUAACUCCAAUAAUGUCUGCUUAGUUGCAGUGUAGCUACUAAAUGAUAAACAUGAAAGCUAAUAAAAAUGUUUCAUAUUUCAAGCUGCAUGUUUGUGUGGAUAAAAAAAAAAUAGUGACCCCUUGACCCACUGCAGGGGAAGUUUAAUACUUUACAUCCACUAAUAAAAUAAAUAUCAAGUUCACAAAACCACACAAAAUGUCAUGUUAAAGAAUAAAUCUUAUUAAGCACAUGCAGGAUUUCAAGUUUAAAUUUUAGACUUUGUAAAUUACACAAGAGCAUUUUAUAUUAGCCAACACAGAUUUCACAUCCAACCUAAAUUGUGCACAAUAUAUGGGGAUUCUGGCAACAAAAUAUCAUUACAAUAAUUGUUGGCAAUAACAUCCCAAAGUAAAUUCACAUUUGGCAAGUUAAUACAUUUAGGCUGUGAGAUGGAGUAGAUGUGGACAUCUGACACUAAAUGACAAAGCUUUAUAGUAUUACAGGAAUUUAUUACACAUAAUAUUGUCAUAGCAACAUUUAAUGAUAAUAUGGUUAUGGUAUAGUUUCCUAAUAUUACACCUAGUAAAUACCUGACAACAUAAAUUAAUCAAAUCCUUUUUCAUCUAUGCACAGAGAGCUGCAGAUUUGAAAGCUCAUUCAGUUUCUUUGCUAAUCAGUAUUCUUUAAGGAUGACACAAUGCACCAAAAACGAUAACUUCUUCCGUCUUAUGAGAGCAAAAACCUCUUCAAAGGGAGGUUGAAAAUAGCGCCUGAGCUCAAACUGAUCCAUCCUUGAACCACAGCCCAUCUGAACUAAUGAAAGAAUGAGGACAAAACAUCAAACAGCGUCUGCGUUCAAAUGCUGCUGAAGUUUCAUUAGACACCAAGAGCUGCUUGAGACGAGAUUAAAAAAAAAUACAGGUGAUAUAGCACUGCAUGCUGUAGAAGAGGCUGCAGGGUGGAGGGAUGAGGGGUUUGCUGGUGAAGGUUACUGUGAUCGCAGGCCAUCUAUACUUCAUUAGUCUCUAUGCACAUACCAGUAAAGGUAUGGAGAAACUUUGACUAUGACGAUGCAAAAGUCUGGCACUCAGCAGAUGAAGACCUCAGCUGACCUCACUUGCAGCGUUGUGCGGCAUGUGAAGCCUUGACUGGUGCUCUGCUAAUUCUAUUCUCCAAGCAGCCGCAUUAAAAACACUCUGAAUGUAAUCUUUCACCUGAGUACAUUCGUAUCGUUGUUAAUGAAGAAGCCAUCGUGCUGCAUUGAAGUAUAAGUAUCUAUUUAGGUCUGAAUGAGUUUCUCUUUUCAAUGUCUGACAUUCGCAUGCAUUAACAAAGCCGGCCUCAUUGGUUGGAUACGGAAAAAGAUGAUAUUCAUGAGGUCAAACACAAGUGUACUGAGCUUUCAGUGUCACGCUCUCACCAGUACUUUGUGCUGCUCUCAAGAUAAGACAUUUUGAUUUCGAGUCUGUGGACAGCUGGGAACAGGAGGUGCUUUUCCUUUAUAAGGGUUUUACACAGUAGUUGUUGCAGCAUAUCAAAAGUCCGGUGUCUUCUGCAACCGAAGUGAGGUUCUGCUGUAUUCUGUCUGCAGAGAUGUCUGUGCAAAAUUGCACACUGUGGGUGUAGCCCAAGUCUCAGAUUCCUCAUUCAUUCACUGUACCUCCCCCAUAAAACAAUGCUGCUGAAAAUCUGACAGUGCAUCGCCAUGUCACCCCACCUUGUCUGGUCAUCCCUCCUCCUCCGGUCACAUGUCUCUCAUAGCCACAUUCCUCUAGCCAUCUUUCCUCUCAUCCCCACCCCUACGGUCCACAAGCUGUGCCUGCCUCUGGGUCUAAACUCUUCCAUUUCCUGAAAGAAACCCAAUGUUCCUCUUUUUCGUUAUCUCUAUUUGCAUUCAUUCUGGAUUGAAUGUGCCGCUGGAUAAAAUAAUAAAAUAAUAAUAAUAAUAAUAAUAAUAAUAAAAAUAUGCAGCCGUUUGGUCUUUGCUGUGGUUUCUGUCCUUCCGCCAUGUUAAGCGUGGUUUUGGCGUUUUGUCUUACAGAGAUGUGUGAGUGCCCCUCGCAGCUCCCAAGAACCCAACCCGUGCACAUCACAGCAAAACGUCACAAGUUAGGGUCUCAGGGAAUGAGAAAGCUGAAAUCACUUAGAUUGCAAAAGGCCUGGUGUACAAAGAGAAGCCGAAAAACAGAGGAGCAGAGGAAGAAUGGAGAAAGUGUUGAACAUGAGCACAUAAGAGAAGGAGCGAAGGCAGAGAAAAAAAAGAAAAGAAAAAGGAGGCAUGUUUUCAUCUUACAGUGUCCGUUCCCAAGCUGGCUUUCAUUUCAGACAAAAAAAUUUCCCCUCCAGUCGGCAAGUCCACUAUUCUGUUCCUGUCUCCCUCGCCCUCUGUGUCUGUGAAAGUGAGUCGGUAUUACAGCGUGCAUUUCAUGGAGAAAAGGAGGGUGGGAACAAGGAGAAAGGAGGGAGCAAGGGAGUAAAUGCACUGGUUCAGGAAGAGGUAAAGGAAAUGUAACUGUACGCCUCCUGGUUGGUACUCCUAUGUUUGAUCAAUGUUACUCCUUUAAAGUAGCAGAAAAGGAUUGUGGAAAAAAAAAAAAGAAGAGAUGAAAGACGAAAGCGAGAGGACUGGGGAGAUGAGGGCAUUACCGGAACAGGGUUCUUUAGAGGGACAGCACACAAUGGACAGUGAUCAGUAAAGGCAGAAAGAAGCCUGUGUGGUCCCAUUCUGUCCCUCUGCUGGUUUUUAUCUUCGUCUCGUAAAGCUCAGUCCGAUAAAAAUCGAUUGUUCCGUUCCGUGUUUUUAUUUUCUACAUUUUUCCGA